GAUGAACGCUGGCGGCGUGCCUAAUACAUGCAAGUCGAGCGAACGGACGAGAAGCUUGCUUCUCUGAUGUUAGCGGCGGACGGGUGAGUAACACGUGGAUAACCUACCUAUAGGACUGGGAUAACUUCGGGAAACCGGAGCUAAUACCGGAUAAUAUUUUGAACCGCAUGGUUCAAAAGUGAAAGACGGUCUUGCUGUCACUUAUAGAUGGAUCCGCGCUGCAUUAGCUAGUUGGUAAGGUAACGGCUUACCAAGGCAACGAUGCAUAGCCGACCUGAGAGGGUGAUCGGCCACACUGGAACUGAGACACGGUCCAGACUCCUACGGGAGGCAGCAGUAGGGAAUCUUCCGCAAUGGGCGAAAGCCUGACGGAGCAACGCCGCGUGAGUGAUGAAGGUCUUCGGAUCGUAGAACUCUGUUAUUAGGGAAGAACAUAUGUGUAAGUAACUGUGCACAUCUUGACGGUACCUAAUCAGAAAGCCACGGCUAACUACGUG
rnacentral:rRNA from 1 species